CCUACGGGUGGCAGCAGUGAGGAAUAUUGGUCAAUGGACGGGAGUCUGAACCAGCCAAGUAGCGUGAAGGAUGACUGCCCUAUGGGUUGUAAACUUCUUUUAUAUGGGAAUAAAAUGUUCCACGUGUGGGAUUUUGUAUGUACCAUAUGAAUAAGGAUCGCCUAACUACGUGCAAGCAGCCGCGGUAAUACGGAGUAUCCGAGCGUUAUCUGGAUUUAUUGGGUUUAAAGGGAGAGUAGGUGGAUUGUUAAGUCAGUUGUUAAAGUUUGCGGCUCAACCGUAAAAUUGCAGUUGAAACUGGCUGGCUGGAGUGCAGUAGGGGUGGGCGGAAUUCGUUGUGUAGCGGUGAAA
rnacentral:rRNA from 1 species